CCUCCUUCUUCGCGCUUUCUCCGGAUUUAUUGGGUUUAAAGGGUGCGUAGGCGGUCUUAUAAGUCAGUGGUGAAAUCCUAUCGCUUAACGAUAGACGUGCCAUUGAUACUGUAGGACUUGAGUACAGAUGCCGUUGGCGGAAUGUGUCAUGUAGCGGUGAAAUGCAUAGAUAUGACACAGAACACCGAUUGCGAAGGCAGCUGACGAAACUGUAACUGACGCUGAGGCACGAAAGCGUGGGGAUCAAACAGGA
rnacentral:rRNA from 1 species